CCUACUUGAACUUUUGGCUUCUUGAUCUUGAUUUGUUCUGGUUCCUGUGGUUUUGAAUCCUGUCUUUUCCUGUGGCUUACCAAUGGAGUCUAAGUUUUUGGCUCCCUGCUCUGAGAGCUAUUGGCCAAACAUUCCAAGCAAUGGCAUUUUUUUUUUUUUUUUUACAUUUAUGGCACUUGGCAGACACCCUUAUCCAGCGGGAUUAACAAAGGCAGAUGAGGGUUAAGUGCCUUCCUCAAGGGCCAAGCAGCGGUAUCUUUAUGGCACGGAGAUUUGAACUUGUGACCUUCCAAUGUUUUAACCAGUGAGCUACCACUUCCCAAAUUUCACAUCUUGGGGCCAAGAAGGAUCUACUGCUCACCAAAGUUGUGCCAGACACAUGAUUCAGAAGCAUGUUUUAACAAGAGCCACAGACCAGGGCCUGGUAUUAACAUGUCCUCCACGGAGUACAAAAAGGGCACGGCCAUCGCUGCAAAUGCCACGCUAGAUGUCUAGGAACUUGUUUGUCAGUUCAUUAAAAAGGUCUGAACAUUACACACUUCACUGCAGGCAACUAAGGAGGGGAGGGUGGUUUAGGACAUUGUCAGAGGCAGUGAAGAUUUUUUGACGAGAUUAAAGGCAGCAAAAUGACAAAACCUUCACAGUCUUGACCUUGUUCUUUGCUUUAAAACCAGCACCACUUCAAAGUCUGCUGAUAUCUAACAGCCGUUCUUGUCCGUACUUUGAAAGCCUGCGAUGAAAUUAAACAUUGCUUUGAAAAUG